rnacentral:rRNA from 1 species
GGCCGCGGGAAUUCCAUUCAGGCCUAACACAUGCAAGUCGAGCGAACAGAUGAACUUCUUGCACUUCUGACGUUAGCGGCGAACGGGUGAGUAACACGUAAGGAAUCUACCUAUAAGCGGGGGAUAACAUUCGGAAACGGGUGCUAAUACCGCAUAAUAUCUUCUUCCGCAUGGAAGAAGAUUGAAAGACGGCUCUGCUGUCACUUAUAGAUGACCUUGCGGUGCAUUAGUUAGUUGGUGGGGUAAUGGCCUACCAAGACAAUGAUGCAUAGCCGACCUGAGAGGGUGAUCGGCCACAUUGGGACUGAGACACGGCCCAAACUCCUACGGGAGGCAGCAGUAGGGAAUCUUCCGCAAUGGGCGAAAGCCUGACGGAGCAAUGCCGCGUGAGUGAAGAAGGCCUUCGGGUCGUAAAACUCUGUUAUAAGAGAAGAACAAAUUGUAGAGUAACUGCUACAGUCUUGACGGUAUCUUAUCAGAAAGCCACGGCUAACUACGUGCCAGCAGCCGCGGUAAUACGUAGGUGGCAAGCGUUGUCCGGAUUUAUUGGGCGUAAAGGGAGCGCAGGUGGUUUCUUAAGUCUGAUGUGAAAGCCCACGGCUUAACCGUGGAGGGUCAUUGGAAACUGGGAAACUUGAGUACAGAAGAGGAAUGUGGAACUCCAUGUGUAGCGGUGGAAUGCGUAGAUAUAUGGAAGAACACCAGUGGCGAAGGCGACAUUCUGGUCUGUUACUGACACUGAGGCUCGAAAGCGUGGGGAGCAAACAGGAUUAGAUACCCUGGUAGU